GACGAACGCUGGCGGCGUGCCUAAUACAUGCAAGUAGAACGCACAGUUUAUACCGUAGCUUGCUACACCAUAAACUGUGAGUUGCGAACGGGUGAGUAACGCGUAGGUAACCUGCCUGGUAGCGGGGGAUAACUAUUGGAAACGAUAGCUAAUACCGCAUAAUAUUGAUUAUUGCAUGAUAAUUGAUUGAAAGAUGCUAUUGCAUCACUACCAGAUGGACCUGCGUUGUAUUAGCUAGUAGGUGAGGUAACGGCUCACCUAGGCGACGAUACAUAGCCGACCUGGGAGGGUGAUCGGCCAAACUGGGACUGAGACACGGCCCAGACUCCUACGGGAGGCAGCAGUAGGGAAUCUUCGGCAAUGGACGAAAGUCUGACCGAGCAACGCCGCGUGAGUGAAGAAGGGUUUCGGAUCGUAAAGCUCUGUUGUAAGAGAAGAACGGGUGUGAGAGUGGAAAGUUCACACUGUGACGGUAUCUUACCAGAAAGGGACGGCUAACUACGUG
rnacentral:rRNA from 1 species